GCGGUCGAGGCGGCGGCGAAGGAGGCGGCCACGGCGGUGGCGGUGGCGAAGACCGCGUUCGAGGCGGCGGCCGCGAAGGGGGUGGCGGUAGCGAAGGCGUUGGCGAAGGAAGCGGCCGAGGUGGUGGCGAUGGCGAAGGACCUGGUCGAGGCGGCGGCGAAGGAGGCGGCCGAGGCG
rnacentral:sRNA from 1 species